ACGCUCGACACCUACGGGAGGCAGCAGUGGGGAAUAUUGCACAAUGGGGGAAACCCUGAUGCAGCGAUGCCGCGUGAAGGAAGAAGUAUCUCGGUAUGUAAACUUCUAUCAGCAGGGAANAAAAUGACGGUACCUGACUAAGAAGCCCCGGCUAACUACGUGCCAGCAGCCACGGUAAUCUGAGCGGGCUGGCAAGGC
rnacentral:rRNA from 1 species